ANCUGCGAAAGGAUCAUUAU
rnacentral:rRNA from 1 species